UACGGGGGGGGCAAGCGUUGUUCGGAAUUACUGGGCGUAAAGGGCUCGCAGGCGGCCGACUAAGUCAGACGUGAAAUCCCUUGGCUUAACCAAGGAAUGGCGUCUGAUAUCGUGACGGCUUGAAUCCGGGAGAGGGAUGUGGAAUUCCGGGUGUAGCGGUGGAAUGCGUAGAGAUCCGGAAGAACACCGGUGGCGAAGGCGGUCUGCUGGGCAGUUGCUGACGCUGAUGCGCGACAGCGUGGGGAGCAAACAGG
rnacentral:rRNA from 1 species